UACGAAGGGGGCUAGCGUUGCUCGGAAUCACUGGGCGUAAAGGGUGCGUAGGCGGGUCUUUAAGUCAGGGGUGAAAUCCUGGAGCUCAACUCCAGAACUGCCUUUGAUACUGAAGAUCUUGAGUUCGGGAGAGGUGAGUGGAACUGCGAGUGUAGAGGUGAAAUUCGUAGAUAUUAGGAAGAACACCAGUGGCGAAGGCGGCUCACUG
rnacentral:rRNA from 1 species